CUGGGCUCCGUGCCUAUAAUGCAGUCGAGCGGACAGAUGGGAGCUUGCUCCCUGAUGUCAGCGGCGGACGGGUGAGUAACACGUGGGUAACCUGCCUGUAAGACUGGGAUAACUCCGGGAAACCGGGGCUAAUACCGGAUGCUUGAUUGAACCGCAUGGUUCAAUUAUAAAAGGUGGCUUUUAGCUACCACUUACAGAUGGACCCGCGGCGCAUUAGCUAGUUGGUGAGGUAACGGCUCACCAAGGCAACGAUGCGUAGCCGACCUGAGAGGGUGAUCGGCCACACUGGGACUGAGACACGGCCCAGACUCCUACGGGAGGCAGCAGUAGGGAAUCUUCCGCAAUGGACGAAAGUCUGACGGAGCAACGCCGCGUGAGUGAUGAAGGUUUUCGGAUCGUAAAACUCUGUUGU
rnacentral:rRNA from 1 species